rnacentral:ribozyme from 13 species
UGAAAGAAAAAGAAGUAAAAGAAAAAGAAGUAAACGAUAUGAAAAGAGAAGAUCUUGAAGAUAGCGGGAUUGUACAGUUUCUCCCUUCUUCUCCUAUUUCUUCUCUCUCUUCUUCUUCCUCCCCUAAU